GAUGAACGCUAGCUACAGGCUAAACACAUGCAAGUCGAGGGGAAACGAUAUUGGAAGCUUGCUUCCGAUAGGCGUCGACCGGCGCACGGGUGAGUAACGCGUAUCCAACCUGCCCACCACUUGGGGAUAACCUUGCGAAAGUAAGACUAAUACCCAAUGAUAUCUCUAGAAGACAUCUGAAAGAGAUUAAAGAUUUAUCGGUGAUGGAUGGGGAUGCGUCUGAUUAGCUUGUUGGCGGGGUAACGGCCCACCAAGGCGACGAUCAGUAGGGGUUCUGAGAGGAAGGUCCCCCACAUUGGAACUGAGACACGGUCCAAACUCCUACGGGAGGCAGCAGCGAGGAAUAUUGGUCAAUGGGCGAGAGCCUGAACCAGUCAAGUAGCGUGCAGGAUGACGGCCCUAUGGGUUGUAAACUGCUUUUAUAAGGGAAUAAAGUGAGAGUCGUGACUCUUUUUGCAUGUACCUUAUGAAUAAGGACCGGCUAAUUCCGUGCCAGCCGCCGCAGUAACAC
rnacentral:rRNA from 1 species